CUCCUCGUUGCUGGCGAGAAGAAGGCUGGGGAAGAGACGGACGGGGUUACCGGCAUUUGGCUCUUCUUACCUCCGGGGCGGAGGUUUCUUCGGGCCGAGCCACCGCCGCCGCCGCCGCCGCCUGGAGUGUGAGGCGAGACCAAAUAACCUCACUACAUCAGAAGUGGGCACUGCAGGGGUCCUCAACCCCUGGUCCGUGAAUCGACACUGGCCUGCAGCAUGCCAGCAACCAGUCCGCACAAAUAAGCAAAGCUCCAUCCACAGGAUACAGGCCAUAUGCAAAACCACACCCCCUCUGGUCUGCGGAAAAACCUUUCUCCAUGGCACCGGUCCCUGGUGCCCAAAAGAUUGGGAACCUCUGCUGUAAUGCACUUUUUUUUGGGGGGGGGGGGCUAUGUCCACAUGCUCCACAGAAUUAGGAAAUAAAGAACAGCAACAUAUUAUGAUCAAGUAUAUUGUACAAAUCCAGCUCAUAUGGCUAGUUAGGCUAAGGGGGGGGGGAAUGUGAGUGUAAUAAACUGUGUGAAUACUUAAUUAACAAUUGGAAUGUUUUGUACAUGCACUCUGAAACCUCAGUUUUCUUGAUCAUCAUUCAACAGUCUUUGGAUGUAAAGGGCAAAACUGAACUUUGGAUUUCAUUCCCAAACAUUGGACAACCCUCACCAUUUCUGAAACAUUGGAAAAUCAAUAUAAUUCAUAUUAUCUGUCUCAAUAACAGUUGUAUAAUAACAUGAUAUAACUUGACGUAUAGCAUAAUAAAAUAUCAAUUACAUCAAC